rnacentral:rRNA from 1 species
CCUACGGGUGGCAGCAGUGAGGAAUAUUGGUCAAUGGACGAGAGUCUGAACCAGCCAAGUAGCGUGAAGGAUGACUGCCCUAUGGGUUGUAAACUUCUUUUAUAUGGGAAUAAAACGUUCCACGUGUGGGAUUUUGUAUGUACCAUAUGAAUAAGGAUCGGCUAACUCCGUGCCAGCAGCCGCGGUAAUACGGAGGAUCCGAGCGUUAUCCGGAUUUAUUGGGUUUAAAGGGAGCGUAGGUGGAUUGUUAAGUCAGUUGUGAAAGUUUGCGGCUCAACCGUAAAAUUGCAGUUGAAACUGGCAGUCUUGAGUACAGUAGAGGUGGGCGGAAUUCGUGGUGUAGCGGUGAAAUGCUUAGAUAUCACGAAGAACUCCGAUUGCGAAGGCAGUUCACUGGACUGCAACUGACACUGAGGCUCGAAAGUGUGGGUAUCAAACAGGAGUAGAUACCCUAGUAGUC